UUAUAUAAGAAAUUUGUGUUAAAUCUCCCAAGUAAACUGCUGAAAAUUUUUCACAAAGUACUACCAUUUGGGUUGAGAGUUGUGAUCAGUUUUGUGACCCCCUGUUGACUGUUAGCCCUGAGUGCACAUCAGUUGAGUUUCUGCUGUUUCGACCACUCUAAGGACCUUUUCUUCUAGGGGUCCCUUAAUCAAAGUUUCUCAGAACUUAGUAAAGAACUUACUGGUAAAAUUUCAGCUUUAUUGGGUCUCUGGUUUUGAAGUUAUGUUGAGUUUAUCUUGACUCGGAUCUGAAAAAUUCCAGCAUGUACACUUAAUGGGAAUCUGAGAUUAUCACCUUGUUAGGUUCUGUUCUAGCCCUACCUUUGAAUACCAAACUUGUUACACACUAUCUAAAGAACAUGCUGGUAAAAUUUGAGAAAUUUUGGACGAAUAAUUGCUGAGUUAUGAGCUUUUCUCUAACUGCCAGAAAUCUGUUCUGAUUUCCAAGUGUUAACUCCGUUUCUCACUUGUCCUUUGGUUACACAUGGCUCAGCCCGUGCACAUUGUAGUCGGUAUGGAUGGCACCACCUACUCACGGUGCCUUCACUACGAGGGUUUCCCAGCCGUGCUGUAGGACACCCUACGCUCUUUCGGGUACCAGUCGCCGCUGGUUUACGCGGGACGUGCGUACCAGGACCGCGGGAUUCCGUGGAGUCGCGUGCACAUGCGGGUGCCCCCGCCUCCGGACCAGCCACAGUGGCCGCUGUUGGAGGUGGUGGCUGAGGGAGACACGCUACAGGACACCUGGGAGUUCGCAGCCUUGCAGACUCU
rnacentral:lncRNA from 1 species